UUUUUCGUUCUUACAACACCCGACAGCAGCGAUAAAGGUAAAAGCUCUGGAAUUUUUCUCCGACCUGCUCCCUCGAUUCUCUCAGAAAACCCUACUACUGAAUUUCCAUCUCUAUCUCUCUCUCUCUCUCACUUUAAAUGUUGGAGGAGAGAGCUCUCCUUUAGAUUCGCAGAUCUCAACGAGCUCACAUUUUCAAAGGCGGACCCGUUUGGUUAUCGCAUUCGCAUCGGAUAUAGGGUUUCUUUUACUUUCUCGCUUCCCGUUUUAUUGAUUUAAGAAUAGUUAUUGAGCUCUCCAUCUACAUUCAUAUGACAGUGGCAAAGAUGUAUCGGAUCGAGAUCGUUCAUCUGCUAGGCCCCUGUUUGGAUGGGUUACACCUAUAAACUUACACCAGUGGGAUGAAUUUAUCCUCUGAUUUGAUGAUUUUUGUUGAUUCGAAACUGAUGGUUAGAAAAAAGUCUAACCAAUGAUUUACAUAAAAUGAGCAGAAAUUCUCUCAUAAGGGGCUCCGAUCAACCUGACUGUUGGCUUAUGGCACAACAGAUGAGCUGUCUAGAUCUCAUAUGGAUGUAUAUUUGUAAUAUUAGGAAGAUGGUUACAAGAGUACAUGUGAUCUACAGUUAUUCAUUUAUAUAAUUGAUCUUGUCCUUUACC